rnacentral:rRNA from 1 species
AUUGAACGCUGGCGGCAUGCCUUACACAUGCAAGUCGAACGGCGGCGGACCUUCGGGUGCCGGCGAGUGGCGAACGGGUGAGUAAAGUAUCGGAACGUACCUUUCAGUGGGGGAUAACGUAGCGAAAGUUACGCUAAUACCGCAUAUUCUCUGAGGAGGAAAGCAGGGGACCUUCGGGCCUUGCGCUGAUAGAGCGGCCGAUAUCAGAUUAGCUAGUUGGUGGGGUAAAGGCCUACCAAGGCGACGAUCUGUAGCGGGUCUGAGAGGAUGAUCCGCCACACUGGAACUGAGACACGGUCCAGACUCCUACGGGAGGCAGCAGUGGGGAAUUUUGGACAAUGGGCGCAAGCCUGAUCCAGCCAUGCCGCGUGAGUGAAGAAGGCCUUCGGGUUGUAAAGCUCUUUCGGCCGGGAAGAAAUCGGUUGGGCUAAUACCCCAACUGGAUGACGGUACCGGAAUAAGAAGCACCGGCUAACUACGUGCCAGCCGCCGCCGUAAUAC